rnacentral:rRNA from 1 species
CCCAGUGUGACUCGUCACACUAUCAUUAACUGAAUCCAUAGGUUAAUGAGGCGAACCGGGGGAACUGAAACAUCUAAGUACCCCGAGGAAAAGAAAUCAACCGAGAUUCCCCCAGUAGCGGCGAGCGAACGGGGAGGAGCCCAGAGCCUGAAUCAGCAUGUGUGUUAGUGGAAGCGUCUGGAAAGGCGCGCGAUACAGGGUGACAGCCCCGUACACAAAAGCGCAUGUGCUGUGAGCUCGAUGAGUAGGGCGGGACACGUGGUAUCCUGUCUGAAUAUGGGGGGACCAUCCUCCAAGGCUAAAUACUCCUGACUGACCGAUAGUGAACCAGUACCGUGAGGGAAAGGCGAAAAGAACCCCGGCGAGGGGAGUGAAAAAGAACCUGAAACCGUGUACGUACAAGCAGUGGGAGCACCCUUUGGG